GUGAACGCUGGCGGUAGGCCUCACCCCUGCAAGUCGAACGGCAGCACCGUAAGAGCUUGCUCUUACGGGUGGCGAGUGGCGGACGGGUGAGGAAUACAUCGGAAUCUACUUUUUCGUGGGGGAUAACGUAGGGAAACUUACGCUAAUACCGCAUACGACCUACGGGUGAAAGCAGGGGAUCUUCGGACCUUGCGCGAUUGAAUGAGCCGAUGUCGGAUUAGCUAGUUGGCGGGGUAAAGGCCCACCAAGGCGACGAUCCGUAGUUGGUCUGAGAGGAUGAUCAGCCAGACUGGAACUGAGACACGGUCCAGACUCCUACGGGAGGCAGCAGUGGGGAAUAUUGGACAAUGGGCGCAAGCCUGAUCCAGCCAUGCCGCGUGGGUGAAGAAGGCCUUCGGGUUGUAAAGCCCUUUUGUUGGGAAAGAAAAGCAGCAGGUUAAUACCCCGCUGUUCUGACGGUACCCAAAGAAUAAGCACCGGCUAACUUCGUG
rnacentral:rRNA from 1 species